rnacentral:rRNA from 1 species
GUGGCUAAUUUGACUCAACGCGGGGAAUCUUACCGGGUCCGGACACACUGAGGAUUGACAGACAGUUGUCUUUCCCUCCCUUCGGGGUGGGAUUACAAAAGAUAACAGAUCUUUCAUGAUCAUGUGAUGGGUGGUGCAUGGCCGUUCUUAGUUCGUGGAGUGAUCUGUCUGCUUAAUUGCGUUUCAAAUUUUAUAUUUGUUAACAUGCGAGUCUUCAAUGACGGCCACUCCACCUUAUAGACAUUAUAUGAUAUGCACAUUUGUGUAUUUGAUUAUAACUUGUCUGGAGUCUGGCUCGAUUUUUUUGACUCAAUUGAACGCAACGGACGUGAUUGCAAGUCCUUGUUGAACAAAUUAUAUAUAUACUACUUCAUCAUUAGUAUAUAUAGUUCGCUUCUCAUGUCGUAGCAGUCAAACGGGCGGGCGUCUUAAUUGGCGCGGUCACGAGGCUUAAUAUGCUGCGGCUGGGAAAACUUGGGCGACCGCUGUAAUACUUCUCUCUUAAACCAGAGGAAGAUUGCGGCAAUAACAGG